GCCCGCAUAGCUCAGUCGGUAGAGCAUCAGACUUUUAAUCUGAGGGUCGCGGGUUCGAAUCCCUCUGCGGGCG
rnacentral:tRNA from 1 species